rnacentral:rRNA from 1 species
UACGGAGGGUGCAAGCGUUAUCCGGAUUCACUGGGGUUAAAGGGUGUGUAGGCGGGUAUUUAAGUCAGUGGUGAAAUCUCUGAGCUCAACUCAGAAACUGCCAUUGAUACUAUUUAUCUUGAAUAUCGUUGAGGUUGGCGGAAUAUAUCAUGUAGCGGUGAAAUGCAUAGAUAUGAUAUAGAACACCGAUUGCGAAGGCAGCUAACUAAGCGAUGAUUGACGCUGAGGCACGAAAGCGUGGGGAUCAAACAGG